rnacentral:rRNA from 1 species
GUGGGGAAUAUUGGACAAUGGGCGCAAGCCUGAUCCAGCCAUGUCGCGUGAGUGAUGAAGGCCCUAGGGUUGUAAAGCUCUUUCACCGGUGAAGAUAAUGACGGUAACCGGAGAAGAAGCCCCGGCUAACUUCGUGCCAGCAGCCGCGGUAAUACGAAGGGGGCUAGCGUUGUUCGGAAUUACUGGGCGUAAAGCGCACGUAGGCGGACAUUUAAGUCAGGGGUGAAAUCCCGGGGCUCAACCCCGGAACUGCCUUUGAUACUGGGUGUCUGGAGUAUGGAAGAGGUAAGUGGAAUUCCGAGUGUAGAGGUGAAAUUCGUAGAUAUUCGGAGGAACACCAGUGGCGAAGGCGGCUUACUGGUCCAUUACUGACGCUGAGGUGCGAAAGCGUGGGGAGCAAACAGGAUUAGAAACCCUUGUAGUCC